rnacentral:rRNA from 1 species
AUACGUAGGGGGCUAGCGUUAUCCGGAUUUACUGGGCGUAAAGGGUGCGUAGGUGGUUUCUUAAGUCAGGAGUGAAAGGCUACGGCUCAACCGUAGUAAGCUCUUGAAACUGGGAAACUUGAGUGCAGGAGAGGAAAGUGGAAUUCCUAGUGUAGCGGUGAAAUGCGUAGAUAUUAGGAGGAAUACCAGUGGCGAAGGCGGCUUGCUGGGGUCUAACUGACGCUGAGGCUCGAAAGUGUGGGGAGC